CAUGGUACGUGUGGUAACCACCUUGCAAGAUGGUCCCCCAAUGACCUCUGCUUCCUGGUAUUCACAGCCUUGUGUAACACCCUCUCACGCUGUAUCAGGGAGCCACCUGUCAUAUUAUGAGGAAACCCAAACCUUAUAGAGAGGCUCAUGUGACAAGGAAUUGAGUCAUUUGAGUGAGCUAUCAUGGAAAUGGACCUGCUGAUUUCCUGAUUUCAGGGCAGACCUUGAGCCAGAACCACCUACUUGAAUUCCUAACCCAAGAAAUGUGUUCUCAACUCUAGCUACACAUCAAAUCUAUUACCUUUUAAAACUGCACAUGACCCUGGCUCAGAUUCCAAAGAAUUUGAUAAAAGAUCUGAGAUAUCAAUUAGAUGUGAUCUGCCUUCUCCCCUACACAUAAUCAAAAGAGUAGCUGCUACUUAAAUGUGGAGGAAACUCAUAUAUGGAAUCAAAACAGUCACUGAAGAAAAAAAAAUUUCCUCUUCUAAAACUCAAAGGAAGGUGAUGACUUGGAGACUGUCUAGCAAUUGCUGUGCAUUAAUGGGGUGACAGUCAGAGGAAGACGCCUGGGGCAGAAGAGCUUCAGUGUAAGGAAAUCAGCCUUUACUGCUCUGCCCAAUCAUGUCAGCACCACUGCUCUUUCAAGGGGCUUCCCGCCAUUGUUGCUCCCUGCUCCGGAACACCCCAUGCUGCCAAAGCCACUGCAGGGGGUCACCUUUAACAGACAACCUCAUUUUCAAAUUUCCAGACCACUAAAUCAAAUGAACCAGUGCAAGAGUAAUUUUUUUUUUAAGGUUGCCAGAGAGAUGCAUAGAAGAGUUGCCUAUCUUGGGAAGAGAAAAUUACAGCAGGAGUCUCGCUUUGUGAUGAUUGGAAAAGAAGGUAGAUCAGAAAGCAGCUUCUUGAGUUUGGGAAUUAUUUAGAUUUUAAAUUGUGUUUUGCUCUACAUCAAAUUGGAUUAGAUUCCUUGAAUCUUCUAAGACUUUGAUCCAGCCCAUUUCACAUUUACAAAUUAAAAGGCAGCUUCAGCAGUGAAAAUCAUAUAAGAUACAACAAGAAAGCUUUGAGGGGCAUACAGGCAGAUUUAGCCUAAAGGCCCAUCCACUUGCGUAGUGUCUCAUACCAACAUGUUUGUGCUUUGAGAAAAUACACUCAAUUCCUAUAAUGCUAAACAUUCUUCAAUAGAGAGGCAUGCAUUCAUAAAGCAGUUGUAUAUCUACAAUCCUUUAUGCUGUUUCAUGUUUCUGAAUCCAAUAGUAAUUUAGUCUAUUAGAAUCAAUACCCCUAAUUCAUAAAAGCAAAUUUUCAGGGCACUAAAAGUGUUGUACAAAUGCAGACCAGUUAAAAUUUUAACCAAAGUUAAAAUAAAUGAGUGUCAUAUAUUUGACACUUAACACGUCCAUGACAACAGGCUCACCCUAAACAAUCAUGCAGAAGUGAAAGCAGUGAGGAAAAAGGAAGAGGGUAAAACAUUCAAAUCUAAAAGUUUACAACGGUAAAUAUGAGUGUGCAGGAAUACUUAAAGAAAAAUCACUGAUCUCCCUAUGCAUGAGCAGGAAGUUUGAACCUAAAUAUCAUCCAUCGAAACUAUAAAGGUUAGACCAGACAUCCGUUAAGAAAUAAAAGGAUCAUCAGCUAACCCCAAACAGAAUCCUUCAGCAUAGUACACUCCAGCAACUUCCCAAUGCCACAAUGUGUGUGCAAGGCUUCAUCAACAGGGUUUGAAAAGCACUGCUAUUCUCCAGAUAGUGCUCACUACAUGAACGCUAACAUAAAUCAAAAAUACUGGCAUGUGUUCCCUGUAGUCACUGCAGCUUAAUCCGCUUACUCUAACCCUUCCCACCUUCACACAGGGUCAUCUCUCCAUGUAACCGACAUAUUCCCCUUUCAAAAAUCUUUUUUUUCAUGAAGGUUUAUAAAUGCCUUAUUGAUUUUCCACA